rnacentral:rRNA from 1 species
UACUCUAAGCGGUGGAUCACUCGGCUCAUGGGUCGAUGAAGAACGCAGCAAACUGUGCGUCAUCGUGUGAACUGCAGGACACAUGAACAUCGACAUUUUGAACGCAUAUCGCAGUCCAUGCUG